AAGGGUUAAAUCGAAUCACAUCAGUUUAAAAAAAAAAAGGAGGAACAAAGUGAUUCGGAUCCAUCCUACAAGAAAAGUAAUGAUUUUUGAUUGCUUUACUGACCUUUUUGAUGGCUUUUUCAAUACAGGCGAGAGCGAAAGGAGAAGAGGGGCCAUUUUCACCCCUCCCCUCCCGUGUUGUCCUCUUCCCCCAGCCUACCUACUCCUCCUGAAAGCAGCGCCAUCGCUUGAGAAGGAAACCCUAUUUCCACCUCCUUCCUUCCUUCCUUUCCCCAGAAAAGAACCCCCGAAAACAUGCAAUCCAUGUUGAAUCUCAACGCCUCCUUCGGCCUCCCUCUCUGCGUUUCCGGGAUCACCUGUCCCCUCUCUCUCUCCCAAGAGAUGGUGGAUCACGACCGCCGGAGGCGGGCGAUGAAGAGGAUGAGAUCGCGACCCAAGCCGGGACCGGAUCGCGAGGCGGGGGCGGCGGCGGCGCGCGUCUCGAUCCCGGAAGGUGGCAAUCUCUCCCGAGAUCUCGCCGAUCUAUUGAGCGAGCUGGCCGCCGUCGACGGCAGUAGCGGCUUCAGCCCCUGUACAGCAAAAGCCGCUUAGGUCUGGAGAUUCGCUCCGCUCAUUUCGUGGGUCUGCCACGGCCAGUGCGUCCGAUCUCCUCCUCCUCCUCCUCAUCUUCUUCUUCUUCUUCUUCUUCUUCGUUUCCAAAUUUGUACGGGCCCUGUAAAUCGCUCCAUACAUUUUGCCUGUGAAGAUUUACGAUUGCAAAGUGCGUUUGGAGUCGCGAUCCGUGUUGGGGUUUUUCCUUCGAUUC